rnacentral:rRNA from 1 species
GAUGAACGCUGGCGGCGUGCCUAAUACAUGCAAGUCGAGCGAACGGACGAGAAGCUUGCUUCUCUGAUGUUAGCGGCGGACGGGUGAGUAACACGUGGAUAACCUACCUAUAGGACUGGGAUAACUUCGGGAAACCGGAGCUAAUACCGGAUAAUAUUUUGAACCGCAUGGUUCAAAAGUGAAAGACGGUCUUGCUGUCACUUAUAGAUGGAUCCGCGCUGCAUUAGCUAGUUGGUAAGGUAACGGCUUACCAAGGCGACGAUGCAUAGCCGACCUGAGAGGGUGAUCGGCCACACUGGGACUGAGACACGGUCCAGACUCCUACGGGAGGCAGCAGUAGGGAAUCUUCCGCAAUGGGCGAAAGCCUGACGGAGCAACGCCGCGUGAGUGAUGAAGGUCUUCGGAUCGUAAAACUCUGUUAUUAGGGAAGAACAUAUGUGUAAGUAACUGUGCACAUCUUGACGGUACCUAAUCAGAAAGCCACGGCUAACUACGUG